GGGUUGUGAGGUUAAGCGACUAAGCGUACACGGUGGAUGCCCUGGCAGUCAGAGGCGAUGAAGGGCGUGCUAAUCUGCGAUAAGCGCCGGUAAGGUGAUAUGAACCGUUAUAACCGGCGAUACCCGAAUGGGGAAACCCAGUGUGACUCGUCACACUAUCAUUAACUGAAUCCAUAGGUUAAUGAGGCGAACCGGGGGAACUGAAACAUCUAAGUACCCCGAGGAAAAGAAAUCAACCGAGAUUCCCCCAGUAGCGGCGAGCGAACGGGGAGUAGCCCAGAGCCUGAAUCAGCAUGUGUGUUAGUGGAAGCGUCUGGAAAGGCGCGCGAUACAGGGUGACAGCCCCGUACACAAAAGCGCAUGU
rnacentral:rRNA from 1 species